AUGUGUGUUCAACUUGGCUAAGAGCCAACACAGUAUUGCUGCUACUGUUCAAUUGUACCUGUUGCAGCAAAAGCCAAGAAUAGGCUUCUCCAAAUGGAGGCUGUUUCUUGUUCUCUUUUUCCUUUCUCUCUUUUUCUUGUCCCAGCUGUAGCGUUAUGGUUGGGGGAAGGAAAUGAGGAAGUGGAGUUAGAGGGAAGCCAGCUUAACUGCCGCUCCUGAAAGUUGUACAACCAGCCUAAAGUUUUGCUGCCACAUGAAAUAUGUAAAAGGAUUUUGGUUGAAGGUGGUUAGCAAGGCAAAGAAAAGAAAUGGAUAUUAACAUCUGAGUGUGUCCUCCAGCUUCGGAGAAAGCUCCCUUGCACCUGCAGGAACUCACUUGCUGGCUGCAGGCUUUUUUCCUUUUGUUUUUGUGAUCAGGUUGAAAAAAAAAAACUAAGACUCUCCUCCAGGUCGUCCAGCGGAGCCAGCCAGGAACUUUUUUCAUUCUCAAGCAACUUCUGCAUUUUGUUAAAGGCAAACAGGCUCUUCUGCCUCUCAUCUCAUAUUUUUGUCAGACACCAGUUUUGCUAAGUCAGGAGGCUAAAAGAUGGAAACAGAAACAUCACAAUAAAAUACAUGUGACCUAAAUGGAAGUUCCAAAGCCAGAUGUCACUGACGAAUCAUCCCUGUAUGGAGAAUGAAGUCAGGAAUGCUGGAAUAAAGAUUGUGAGCCCUGAUGAAGGUCUGUAAGUAUGAUUGUCAACCAAGCGUUGUGCAAGCAGUUAGAGUGUGGGAAUAGGACCGAAGAAACUGAGUCCAAAACCCCAUUCAGCUGUGAUAUUUGCUGGGUGACACAGAGCCUGCCACUCAAAAGGUUUGACCUACCUCACGGGGUUGUUGUUAUACAAGGGAAAAUGGGACACGGAAGCCAUAUGGAAACGGGACUUUGUGAGCAGUCAUGCCCAGAGAGGGUUCUGGUGAAACUCAAACGCUGAACUUAUAUGCUACAGCCUUACAGACUAUGCUACAGCCUUACAGACUAUGUUGAAUCUGAAAAAGUUUAAUGCCUCCUCAACACCUAAAAACUCAUGAGAAGAUUGUAUGCAGAAAAAUGUGAAUGCCUUUUUCUUUUUUGAUCUUGUUGUUUGCUUUUUGCCUAGGAACACCUUUUGUUUGAAGACAUUGUUUUUUGUUUUUGGCUUCGGGAAAAGGGCACAGGCCCGGGGCAAGCAGGGAAACAAAAGCAUAAAUUGGGAAGAUUAACAUGCCAAAGGACCAAAUUGAAAGUGGCCUCAGGAUUUAUCUAUCUUUGUAUUACUUGUCUUGAAAACUUUACUUUUUCUGUUUUGGCUAGUAUUGACACCCAGGGACUUGAUUUUAGGAUGCCUUCUCUAUGGGGGGAGGGAGAAUAUUGGCAACUCACUUGUCUGUUUUCUCUCAAGUAAACAGGGUUUUGUAACCAACAGUGCCUUGAAUUAUCUCUCCAAGAAGGGUUUUCCUCAGAUGACAGAAGUAUCCUGCAUAUAAUUAUUAGACUGUGGUCCCAAAGGAAACCUCCAAAAGGACAUCAACAGUGACCCAGGAGAUUAGCUGCCAGCGACAACCAUCCAACGGCAACAGAUUGUUCACCUGCUAAUUUGUCUUGUGUUGAAUAAAUUCUGGGCAUAUAAAGGAGAUUCAUGAAGCCUACAGCUUCAGAAUCUUGAAAAUAAAAAGGGAGGAAUGAUGGGGACAUAAAAAAAGCUGUGUUUAAUGAAAAGCUGUGUUUUGCCCUUAGCACAAGAGAUGCCAUUUUGUUUUCUGUAAGAGACUGUUUUAAGCUAUUGGGGAAUAAAUGAUGAAGGAAUAAAAUGCAAGCAAGGGAGUUUCAAAAUGACUUUAGAGGUAUUUCUGUGUUAAAACCGCAAACAAUUGGCUAGACGGAGCAGGAUGUGCUUUUGACAUUUGACAUAUAGGCAAUUGAGAAAUGCUUGAGUCUGCGAGACCACAAUAGGGAAAACGGGAAGUGGAGAACAGGUGGUGUGAUAACAUGUCUGGAGAAACAACUUAUUUGAAUAUAGCCAAUAGCAUUGAUUCUACAGAAAAGGGGAACUGAGGGAGGGGGCUUGUUGCUUGUCACUGCUUGUUGUUAGAGUAUAAAAUUGCUUGUAACUUCUUCUGCGGGUGUGCCACUUCUUGGGGUGCGCACCCAGUAGCUUUGCUUGGCCAAAUAAAGAUACUGACCAGAAUCUC